UUGCCGAUCAAAACAAACAAUUCAUUUCUGUCCAUCUCCUACUUUGAAAAGGCUGCAAAUUUCUCCAUCUUCUCUAACGAAAAAGCUCCAAAUCACUCCAUCUUCUCCGGUGAAAAGUUCGACGCAGGGCAGAUUUAGAGAUUUGGAAAAAUCGACGGUAUUGAUUAAAAUGACUUCGAUAUGAGUUCAAGGAAUUCAAUCGGAAGUGAUUCUGCAGAGGAUGCAUCGAAAGCUACAUGAAAAAGAUCUAGACCACAGGAAGAUGAAGAUAACUUAGACAACAAUGAGAACUUAAGGUCUUCUGCUGAAAAAAUUAAAAAAGCAAAAGCAAUAAAAUAGAAAUAUGAAGAUAAAAAAAAAGGAAAAUGAAGCUGAAGGAGAUUCUUUGGAAAAGGGAACAGAAACAGAAAAUGAAGAAACACACAAGGAAAAUAGAGUUGUUGAUGAUUCUUCACAAGAAACCGAAAAUCCAAAAGGCGGAGAGAAGACAGUAAAAAAGAGGAGAAGGCAGGAAAACAAAAGUCGAAGAAAGAAAAGCCGAAGAAGGAUAAAGACGAUGAGGAGACAAAAAUAUUGAAAAUAAAGAGGACAACAAAAUACUUUGUCAAUAUGUUGGAACGUUUAAUUGAUAAGCAGAAGACUGCUGCAAAAUUGAAGUGAAAGCAGUUAUUGUAACUAGGGAAAAACAGUAGGAGAUUUGGAGGAUUAUAUGUUAGCUUAACUUCUUCUAUAACUAUGCCGCCAUUGAAUAUUUUGUAUGUAGAAAUACUAAUGGCAUUACCUAUAUCAUUUUGGACAUGUUACGCGUAUGUACCUUUUGUUAGUAUUAAGAAGUAUCGGAACUCAUCUAUAAAAUAUUAAGAAGUGCAUGAUUUGA